rnacentral:misc_RNA from 1 species
GAUGAAGAACGCAGCGAAAUGCGAUAAGUAAUGUGAAUUGCAGAAUUCAGUGAAUCAUCGAAUCUUUGAACGCACAUUGCGCCCGCUAGUAUUCUGGCGGGCAUGCCUGUCCGAGCGUCAUUUCAACCCUCAAGCCCCCGGGCUUGGUGUUGGGGAUCGGCGAGUCUCCGCGCCCGCCGUCCCCUAAAUCUAGUGGCGGUCUCGCUGUAGCUUCCUCUGCGUAGUAGCACACCUCGCACUGGGAAACAGCGCGGCCACGCCGUUAAACCCCCAACUUCUGAACGUUUGACCUCGGAUCAGGUAGGAAUACCCGCUGAACUUAAGCAUAUCAAUAAGCGGAGGA